AGUGUUAACGAAAUGCAUCACUUCUUUUCCCUCUAGUUCUUCUGUUUUCCGUUUACCUUCGCGAAGCUUUGGUAGCGUCAUGCAAUAGUAUAGGUGUUAGCAUGCGACUUGAAGGUAUAGAUUAGGCUUCAAAAAUAUGAAAUGCACUCGCCUAACUUCAAAAACAGUAUCGUUAUUACCAACGUUUCAAUUGGUAACAUUUAAUUUAAAAAUCGCGCACCUGUGCGCACACAAUGCACAUUUGCGCGUUUGCACAGUUAUCCAAAAAGAGUUUCAUAGAGUCUGUGAAUAGCGUCUGAGCGUCAUGCAAGAAAGAAAAGAGCGAGCAAAAUGGAACAACUUUUGCUUAGUUUUGGCAUGAGCCAUUUGGAUAAAUAAUUAAAAGAUGAAUGAGUGACUAUGUGUUAAUAAAAAGUUGAGCUAUUUAUCCGUAAUCCCUUAAUUGAUGGGUGAUCGCGUCGAUUUCAGACUAAAAUUGUUCGAAUGGAAAGAAUGUAAAAUAGGAUUGCAAUUUUAAAAAAAUUGCCAUUCAUGAGUAUGUAUGUAAACUACGUGUUGUUAACAGAGUGCAACUAGCCUGAGGAAUCCACAAAAAGUUAUUUUUGGAGGAGUGACUCUCUCUGAAUUGCUACACAAAGCGCAUAUGGAACUGCAAUUCUGAGUUUCUGUAAAGAUCACGAUAUUCUUACUGACUCUAAGCGAGAAAAGCUAAUUCAAAUCGUGUUGGUAAACAUAUUUCUUAACAGUAAGAGCCUCGGUCCAAGUGAUUUUAGUGUUAUUUUUCGUGAAAUUCUAAACGUGUUUCUAAACGAAUAAGACCUUUCUCUUAUGGUGUCUCCCAAAAUCUGGCAACACUGGAUGCGGAUCGUGAGCUGAGAGCGAGAGCAGUUGAACGCCGACCGUGAUCCUGAACAGACGAAGUUGUAAAAUAAAAGUGAAGACUGGAAGUACGUAUAUAUAUUUGUGUUGGUGUUUAACUUUGGGGGAAUACGUUAUGCCCCUACAAAAUCAGAAUUGGGCCGAUCACGAGCCAAUUAAUUAAAACAAUAGUAUAAAAAAGAAAAUCAAAAUGGAUUUAAACAACGCGUCGAUUGAACAAUUAAAAAGGUGGUUGAGUGUAUUGAAGUUAUCAACAACCGGAACAAAGAGACAAUUGAUCUUGCGAUUAAAUAAUAUACCGAAGGAAAUUCGUGGAAAGUUUGAAGAAAUGGCGAGACAAAAAGGAGAAAAAGACGGCGACAAAAGUAAAGGCGAAGACAGCGGCGACGAGAAUUUUGAAGAUGGCGGCGGAACUAUCCAGAAAGAAGGCGGCGAAAAGUAACAGCAAAGAUUUCGACAAAAGUAACGGCAAAGACGGCGGCAUCCAGAGUUACGACGAAGAAGACGGCGACAAAAGUAACGGCAAAGACGGCGGCAUCCAGAGUUACGACAAAGAAGACGGCGAAACUAACGGCGAAGGGAAUGACGAAGUUGUUGGCAGCAUUCUCAGAAUUAGAGGCAAAUGGAACGAAAACUAUACAGAAGACGACAUGCACAACCAGGAUGGAGAGAAUUCUAGGAACGCAAAAAGCAGCGAACGUAAAGAGAAAAACGGCAACGUUGCGGUGGUGGAAAAUUGUAAUGAGAGCAUCGACGUCUCGUUGAGUAUGGCAACACAGGUGUUGAGCGAGUUUGCUGGCGAGUCGUGUGAUUUAUGGAAUAGGUGGAAAAUUUGAGAAAAUGCUAAUGGUGAGCAAAAUUAAAGGGAAAGCUUAUGAGUGGCUGUACGCAAAUUCAGACCGCGUGUUGCUACCGUUGGAUGGCUUGACUGCAGAGCUGAUUUCAACGUUUGGCGGAAAAUCAUCGAAGUUGGAGAUAAGACGCAAAUUCGAAGGUCGCAAAUGGAAACAAAGCGAACAUUUCGGGAGUUAAGUCGACGACAAGAUAAUGCUUGCUUAGGGCAUUAAUAUUGAUGCAGAUGAAAUGUUGAGCUGCAUCAAGGGCUACGUAAUCAGGCGCAUAUUCAAUGCUUUGGGGAUAUUGGGCACAUUAAAAGAGCGUUUGCGGAUGUAAGCUUGCCAAAGUCAUAUGGAGUUGGCCGGCCGACGACAUCAACGGAUCCCAGGAACAGCAAGAAGACUCGCUGUUUCAAUUGCAAUGCAAAAGGGAAUUGGGCGUACGAGUGCAGGAAGUUGAAGCGGGAGAAAGGAUCGUGCUAUGCGUGUGGUGGGAUGGGACAUUUUGUUACGAAAUGCUUGAAGAAUAAAAACAAGAAAGAGAACGAAAACAAUGAUGUAAGAUAUAUUGAAUUUAAUUUUAUAAACGAUUCUAAUACCAGGUUAAUUGCGGAAUGCCUCAUAGAUACAGGAAGUCUGAUUUCAUUUAUCAAAAUAUCUAAAGUACCAGAAAACAUUUUAAAAUUACCAGUUUUAAGUAUAUAUUAGG